rnacentral:lncRNA from 1 species
UCCCACCCAGAGGCUUUAAAUGUCUGACAACUUCCUGGUAGAAAUAUUGCUAUGCAGGAAAACCUCAGAUGCCUGUCUCUUAAGUUUAAACCUAUGUAUAACAAAAAGGCCUUCAUACACCACUACACUAGAGAGGGCUUAAGUGAAUCCGAAUUCACUGAAGCACAAGAAGAUUUAAAUGAUUUGAUUUCUGAUUAUCAGAGUUUUCAGGAUUGCGGAAAAGGGGAGGAAAAAAAAAAAUCUAAAUCAAACAAAAAGCGAGUUGGCAAGCAAUUCAAUCUAGGUUAUGGCAAGACCAGCUCAGGGAAGGGCCCUGAGGGUCAUCAAGCCAGGACAAGAACCAUGGGGGUUGGGAUUACAGCAGGACCAAUUCCAAUUUCGACUAAGAACUUCGCAGAAAGCUACUUAGAGCAGAGAACUUACAACGCGGCGCCAUAUGCCAAGACCAACUCAGGGAAAGGCCCCGUGGGUCAAGCCGGGGCAAGAAGCAUGGGGGUUGGGAUGUCAGGAGGACCAAUCCCGAAUAAGAACUCCGCAGACAGCUUCUUAGAGCAGAGAGCAUCUCAGAAUGCAAAGAAAUAUUCAAGAGACGGAUCUCUCAGAGACAAUGCUUCAAAGACGACUACAGAACUUGGACCACCACCACCACCUAAUAAUGGGGGAAAGCCAAGCACUUCAAGGAAAUUUAAGCCCCCAAAUGAAACAAGAUCAGACACUAAUCAACCAAGAAAGGUGAACUCCAAAGUGAAAUCUUGUAACAAACCAGAAGUAGUAUAUAAUUGCUGUAUCAGCAGUUAUUUAUUCGUCUCAAAUUAAGAUCUUCAGAAGGAACUAGAAGCUGGAGAGACAGUAAUUCCUUCCUCUACAGUGUGGCUUAAGCUCUAUGAAGAUGGAAGAACAGUGGAAAGGCCAAAAAAAAAAGUUGACAAUUGUUGCAUCGAAGGGUAAAAAAUUGUCAACUUGAUAAUGCAAAGACUAAAUACAUAGUACUGGAAAAAGGUAAAUUUUUUUCUCACUUUGAUGAAACUCACAUUUCAUUCAAGUCAAUAAUAAAACUCUUCUCAAAAGAACGUGAACCCA